rnacentral:rRNA from 1 species
UACGUAGGUCCCGAACGUUGCGCGAAUUUACUGGGCGUAAAGGGUCCGUAGGCGGUUUAGCAAGUGGUUGGUGAAAUUUCACGGCUCAACCGUGAAACUGCCUUCCAAACUGCUAAACUUGAGGCAGGGAGAGGGCGGCGGAAUUCCCGGUGUAGCGGUGAAAUGCGUAGAGAUCGGGAGGAACACCAGUGGCGAAGGCGGCCGACUGGAACUGUCCUGACGAUGAGGGACGAAAGAUAGGGGAGCAAACCGG